rnacentral:lncRNA from 1 species
UUUAUGUAUUUUCAUUCUUUCAGAUGACUAACUUAUUAUUUUUUUUUUUGCACAGUGAAACAGAGGGUCAGAACAGUGAGGAAAGAGGAGAAGAAAGUAACCAAGGAGGAGAAGCCCGCUGUCGAGGGCAAGAAGAAGACGAUUACAGCGAAGACGAAACCUGUUAAACCAGCUAAAGAAAAGGCUCCAGUUAAAGCCGCCCCAGAGGAGCAAAAACCAGCCAAGGACAUAGAAGAAAAACCAACUGAGCCACCUGCACCAGCAAAACAUGGGAAAGCUUCCAAACCACCAGGCACUAUUAAGAAGCUGAAGAAAAUGUUACUGAGGGCAAGAAACCAGGAAAGAUCCCGUACUUCCAGUGUGUAUUAGUGGGUGGAAAAGGCAGUCAGUAUCCACUGCGCCCGCUGUCUCCUGCUAUGACUCCUGCUAUUAACCCAGCCAUGAUGAGAGCCAUGAUGGAGCAGAGAGCCAGCGUGCUGGAGCAGAAGGCCAAGGAAUCAGGACAGUAA